GCCUAACACAUGCAAGUCGAACGCAGUAGCAAUACUGAGUGGCAGACGGGUGAGUAACAUGUGGGAAUCUGCCUUGUGGUUCAGGACAACAUUGGGAAACCGAUGCUAAUACUGGAUAAGCCCUUACGGGGAAAGUUUUAAUGCCAUAAGAUGAGCCCGCAUUUGAUUAGUUAGUUGGUGAGGUAAUGGCUCACCAAGACAAUGAUCAAUAGCUGAUCUGAGAGGAUGAACAGCCACACUGGGACUGAGACACGGCCCAGACUCCUACGGGAGGCAGCAGUGGGGAAUCUUGCACAAUGGAGGAAACUCUGAUGCAGCGAUGCCGCGUGAGUGAAGAAGGCCUUUGGGUUGUAAAGCUCUUUUGUAGGGGAAGAUAAUGACGUGUACC
rnacentral:rRNA from 1 species